GGAAUCCUCCACAAUGGGCGCAAGCCUGAUGGAGCAACACCGCGUGAGUGAAGAAGGGUUUCGGCUCGUAAAGCUCUGUUGUUAAAGAAGAACACGUAUGAGAGUAACUGUUCAUACGUUGACGGUAUUUAACCAGAAAGUCACGGCUAACUACGUGCCAG
rnacentral:rRNA from 1 species